AUACGUAGGGUGCGAGCGUUGUCCGGAAUUACUGGGCGUAAAGAGCUCGUAGGUGGUUUGUCGCGUCGUCUGUGAAAUUCCGGGGCUUAACUCCGGGCGUGCAGGCGAUACGGGCAUAACUUGAGUACUGUAGGGGAGACUGGAAUUCCUGGUGUAGCGGUGAAAUGCGCAGAUAUCAGGAGGAACACCGGUGGCGAAGGCGGGUCUCUGGGCGGUAACUGACGCUGAGGAGCGAAAGCAUGGGUAGCGAACAGGAUUAGAUACCCUGGUAGUCCAUGCCGUAAACGGUGGGCGCUAGGUGUAGGGGUCUUCCACGACUUCUGUGCCGUAGCUAACGCAUUAAGCGCCCCGCCUGGGGAGUACGGCCGCAAGGCUAAAACUCAAAGGAAUUGACGGGG
rnacentral:rRNA from 1 species